GCGUCCCCAAGUCAGGCGUGAAAA
rnacentral:rRNA from 1 species